AGUUUCUUAACAUAAAGGCUCGGUAAAACACGAAAUGUAUUUUACACCUAGUUUUACCUACACACUUCAGUCAAAACUAGUUUUAACAAUUGUUAAGUUUGGGAAAACUAGGUUAGACUAAAAGUGAAACUGGUGUAGUGCCAGGGAAAACAUUUCUAUGUAUAAGUAGCAUUAGGGAGUGGAGUGAACCAUGUGGGGACCAUAAGGGUGGGACUCGCUUGACAAACACCGGAAGUGAGGACGCUGGCUUGUCAGUUUUUGUAUGUUUCAGUCCGCUGUCCUCCUGCAUUGACACAGUUGUUCGUGAGCCACCAAUACAACAAGAUGGCAGCUUGGAGCUCACCUGACCAUCCUGAACACCCUCUUGACCGCCCUCCUAACCAGGCAGCUGACACUGAAUGGGAGACUAUGUUUUUACAGACCAUACUGAAGUGGGACGUGCAACAAGAACCACACUACAACAUACUUACUGCAGAAAAAUACGGUUCACUGUUGCAGGAGGUAAAAAAGGCUAAAACUGCUAAGAAGAAAACGUCUCUACAGUACAGAAGACUGAAGCGGUUUGAUGUCAUUGAAAUUGGUGGUGUUCAAAAACUGAUUGCAAGUAGCAAAAAUGACCAAGUUCGUUAUUACGUUCCUGCUCCCGAGAUUUUUGAAGUCAUUAAGACAUCUCAUGUAGCAAUCGGUCAUGGUGGUCGAGAUAGACUGAAAUGUGAAAUUAAAAGGAAAUAUGCAAAUGUGACAGCCGAUAUGAUAAAGCUCUUCUUGACCAUGUGUGAAGUGUGCCAAAGUAAGAAAAAUAAAAGAGGACUUGUUUUCAAACCAAUCUUACACUCAGAGCUAAAUAGUCGGUGUCAAGUGGACUUAAUUGAUAUGCAGACACAAGCAGAUGGAAAAUAUAAAUUCAUAAUGGUUUAUCAAGAUCAUUUAACUAAAUUUGUGAUACUACGUGCAUUGCAA